rnacentral:tRNA from 1 species
GCCUGGGUGGAUCAGUGGUUGAGCAUCUGCCUUCAGCUCAGGGCCUGAUAUCAGAGUUGUGGGAUCGAGUCCCACAUCGGGCU